UUCGGGUUCUUUACCUUUAAUUUUGUAAACAUUGUCCAAUCCUCUUGUUUCACAAAAAUUAGAAAAAAUAUUGUAACAUCUCUUGUAACUUAACUCUAUCAAUCCAAUAGGGUUUCAGCUCCAUCACAACAUUUCGCACAACGCUCAAAGAACAGAACAAAAUGAACAAACUUACGCAAACACAAUUCGGUGGCACCAACAACAACAUGGGUAAAGAAAAAGGUGGUAAAAACUCUUAAUUCAACCCCUAACUGUAAUCCUAACCCUAACCUACUUCGUAGGCUUUAGGAGUGUAGGAUUAAAUGAGGGGAAUCGAGAGCAGCACGCAGUUGUCGUGGCUUGUUCUCGUCGUCGUCUUCGUCGUCGUGCUCGUCGGCGUCUAUUUUGGGAUAAAGAAUUUCGACGAGAAGGAGUGGCCAAGUGGGAGAUGAGCAGUGGGGCCUCCGACCAUGAAUUCUCGUCGAAGCAAACCCAACUGGAGCUCCAUUGCAGAUUGAAGCACCCCAAGUGAGCAAAAGAGAGAGAGCACAGCAGCAGCGUUGCUGUAGUGCGAUUCAAACAAGGCUGGAAGCACAGAGCGCGCGCAACCGGUUUAUAGUGAUUGCAUUACCCACAAGACUCACAGUAGCUUUCACAACAGCAGGAGUCGCCGAGCAGCCCAGAAAAGAGGUCAACCAUUCCGUAAAUCUCCAGACGGUAAAUAGUUCGGGGGUCGGAAUGUAUUCUGAGGUACCUGCCAGAGAAGCCUUGGCAAUCAUACACCCCUCUAGCUUGCCCUCCGCCAAAUAUGAAGCACGUCAAGCUUGCCCCCACGUAGUGAUUCAAUUAAGUGCGCAUGCUAAAAAUCCUUGGCACGAAUCCUCUCUAGCCUGGCGGGUUCACAAAUAGUGGGAGCGGCCAUUGGCAGCGGGGAAUCGUAGGAAUGUUGUGUUGGGGGAAUAUAGCGGGCUUUGAAGAGAUCUGGCUAUAGACAGAGGCUAUCUCCGAUAUGGACGGCGUGUGGCAGCGAGGCUGUUGGUUAACCUUGGCAGGCGCGGCACUGAGCUCGGCAACUAGUUUCCCGUCAGCCAACCGAGUAGGGGUUCUAGAGCACUCACUGCCCUGAGCGCUUAGUUUAGCAAUAACCUGCGGAGAUGUCGUCAGGAGCUCGUCCGCAGUGGCGGGCACGUUGGCCAGGGAUCGCUGGUACAAACCGGAGCAGAUGGGAUCCCAGAACGCAUCUACCCAGCCUGGACAUCGCAAACCAACGGAUUGCGUCGCGAAUUGAGAGGAUCAUCAUGCGUGGAGGCGAUGAGGAACGCAUCAUCUGUCACUGAUUGCGGCCUUCGUGCGGGUUGUCUGCUGCCUGACACGCAUAGGGCCCUCCCUUCGCCAUCUAUAUCAUGGCAGUUGUGGUAUCGAGCUAUAUUUAGGACCGGGGAUCGAUUAUUCCACGGUUUGAAGGAGAUAUACUGCCUCGCCUCCGUCGCGACUCGUCACAAACUGCAACUUCCCAUCAGUUUGAAUUGCUUCCACCUGUGCAUCUUGCCAGCGAGAAAAAGCAUUCGGAGGUGACAAAGCGAAGCUUGUGCACCAUGACGAGAGCCCACCUCAUGACUCUAUCAGGUGAUCCGCUAGUAGAUGCAACGACUGUGGGCGACUGUUAUCAUUCCCGUGGAUGUUGGAACUGUACACAUGAGAGAGGGCGCUGUGAAGCAGGCAAUCGACAAUAUGAUGCUGAUGAUUUCCACUGUCUGGAUCAAGCACGCGUGCAUUCGACGUGAGGAAUUGGCCACGGAUGGAUGGGAUCCCAGUUCAUCACCGGGGCCAGCCCACGCCCUCCCUUGCAAGUUUCUCUGCCUUGUGUCUUGCUUCUCUGUGUGUGUUUUUGUGUGUGUGUGUGUGUUUUUUUUUUAAAGGUUGAACUGAGGAGCUGUUGCUGUGCUGUGGACUCAUCCCGUGGCCUUACUUGCUUCUAUUUGUUCCCUUCAUUCCAAUAAUUCUUGGAACUCGUCCAUUUUUUGAGAUUCUACAUCAACAUCAGGAAAAAGAAAGCAAACAGGAAGUUAUUGGUGGAACAAUUCAGCACAAAUUGAAACUUAAUUUACAGCACCGAACACCACAAAACCAAACAAAAAACAAAAAUAUCUAUAUCUAUAUGUAUAUAUAUCAUACAGGUAUGCAACAAUUAAUUGAAUUUGUCCUCUAUUUAUUUGGAACAUUGUGGACUGCUAAAUAGGGUGAGACAAGCUUAAUUUGACAGUGACAGUAAAAAUCUCCAACAUUGUGCUCUGUAGAUGUAUCAACUUUAUUUGAUGAAUUUAAAAAAUAAAGAAAUUUGAAAAAAAAAAUCUUGUGUUGAUUAAUUUUCCAAGAUAA